UUUUACACUUGCUGGCUAGCUUCCCUGCCUGUCAUUGCUAGCUCUGCUCGCUAAACAGGAAAAGUAUUUCCAGAUAAAAUAGGCCAUACGGUGUUUUACUUCUUAUCUUGGCUUCAAGAACAGUUAGGGACUAGUUCUUAAAUUGAAAGAGGUGAAUCAGGGCAUUAUGGCUCAUGGGUUAUGGCUCCCUUCGCAGAUACCUACGAUGCCCUUGAACACUUAUGCUCACUUAUGGCAAUCAAAUACUUCCUUAAUUGCACUUUUUAUUCAGCUGCUCUCUCUGUGGGUAUGCACGUAUCUAGGUUCACAUUUGCGGGGAUUUACUGUACACUGACAACCCCUAGCUAGAAGAUAGGAGAACUAACUAAGAGAAAGGCUAGAGAAGCAUGCUAGUAUUUCAAUAGCAAUACCAAUAGCACUUAGAUUUAUAUACCACUCUGUAGUGCUUUACAGUACUCCCUGGGCAGUUUACAAUGUCAGCAUAUUGCCCCCAACAAUCUCAUUUUAUCGACCUCAAAAGGAUAGAAAGCUGAGUCAACCUUGAGCCUGUCAGGAUCGAACUCCUGGCUGUGGGCAGAGUUUGCCUGCAAUACUAUGUUCUAACCACAGCACCACCAGGGCUGAAAACUAUUUUUCUCCCCCCAAAAAGUGCCUUUGGAUGGGCACAGUUCUCUCUUCCUGCCUCUUAUAUAAUAUAUACACACAUAUAACCUGACUCCUAUGAGUACAUCAGUUUCUAUGAGUGGAACACUAUACCUAUUUAUGUAAAAGCAAUCUUACUUAAGACAUAUUUUUAAUAAUAAUGUAUAGGCCUGCACUCUCACCUUUUUGGUACUAGACAACCUGCAACAUGUCAGGUCAUCCUUUCAGAAGUAUUUCCAUUUCCAUAAACGGAGAAACGGAAUAACCAUAAGGUGGGCAAAACAGAAGUGACUUCCAACUUUCUGCUGGCUUCCCCAUUGGCUUUCCUUAUAGGAAGCUGUCAGGGAGUGUUGGAAAUAACAACCUCAUGACCACAGCUGACCACAUUGGCACAGUAUCUAGCAUGGUACUGAAGGAGCCACAAAUAUGCCAAAUUUCAGUCCCAUGGGAAUAAUGGGUCCCAGAUUUUUGAUGAAUUUUCUAAAAGAGCCCAUUUGAGGUACAUUGAUUCAAAAACUGUUCUCCUAUGAAACACUAUAUUGCCCCAUUAAUGGAUAUCAAUAAACAGACAUGUGAGUUUCUGUAGUAUACAGGUUAAGGCAUCAGAGUGAUAAUUAGUAAACUAUUAGUAAACUAUCCUGGAUGAAGGGUCCCUGGACCUUUAAAAGUUUUCAGAAACAAGACAUUUCCCAACAAAAGAGACCAAUUCCCAUUAGUCACCUUAGUAGUAACAGAUGUGUAUAUUUUUGUACCUGGCUCUAUUCCAGUAUACACAUGAUCUAACUGGAACUUCAGUGGGAUCAUAACACAUAAUUAGAAAUAAAGUCUGCUGGGACAGCACUUUUAAACUCCAGCUGUUUAGAACUGAAGGUGGUUAGAAAGAAAGAUUUCGGCAUUACUCAGGGUUACCCAAAUAUUUUUAAUGGCAAGCCGCCAUUGUUUCAGUGGGCUCAGGGCAUCUCUAGCAGACAAAUCUUCUUCUAAAGGUGAUGGGAUGACUUCCAGAUUUGAGUUACUCAGCUGGGCUCACAGAUGUACAGAAAGAGAGAAGAAGAAAAGCAUUCAUCUGUCACCACAAAAUAACUGAGGAUUAAAGUUCAUGCCCUGUUAACAAUGCAUUUCUUGUUCGUUCAACAGAAGGACUUUCUUCCUAGUUUGUAAAGUUGUUCUUUGCCUAAUGAGCAAUUAAAAUAAAAUCUUUCUGCAUCGAAGUAAUGCUCAAUAGUAUUGCAUCAGUAUCAACCAUUUCUUACUUUGCCUUCAAAAGCAGUAAACACAUGAGAGCUAGAGUAUGCAGAGGCAAAACAAAAUGUAAAAAAUAAUGUAAAAUACAGAAAUAUCAUAGAAAUAUUAGAGAAGAUAUGGUUUAAGACUUUGAUUUUCAUCUAGCAUUGCUAUACCAUUAGUUUUGGUCUUGUCUCCUUAAUUCCCAGAGCCAGACUGGGCACAAUAACAAGAAAAUGCAUCUAGGAUAUUUUUAUAUUUUUACAGGGCCGCCAAAUCUAAUGCAGGAUCAUUGCAUGAAAGGGCCAAGAAAUAACUUUUCUUCUUGCUGGAUAUAAGUUCUUAGAGUCUCUUUAAUGAAUAAAGCAGGCAAAUUUCCGUAGGGAAAUUCACUGGGAGUGUUGCAACUGAAGACUUUGCAACUUUUCCAUGUACUUGGUUUAUAGACUCAGCUGCCCACAAUGGCAUUACAGCUGUGUUUCCUGGAACAAAGGUUGGAUUUCUUGGGGCAAGAAAGCCUCUUGGCACAUGUCUCAAAAAAAAAAAAAAAAAAAAAAAAAA